AGCGGAGUAGAGCAGUCAGGUAGCUUACUGGGCUCAUAACCCAGGGGUCAAAGGUUCAAAUCCUUUCUCCGCCA
rnacentral:tRNA from 1 species